rnacentral:rRNA from 1 species
UCGAGGGGAAACGACAUCGAAAGCUUGCUUUUGAUGGGCGUCGACCGGCGCGACGGGUGAGUAACGCGUAUCCCAACCUGCCCACCACUUGGGGAUAACCUUGCGAAAGUAAGACUAAUACCCAAUGACAUCCCACGAAGGCAUCCGAAUGGGAUUAAAGAUUUAUCGGUGAUGGAUGGGGAUGCGUCUGAUUAGCUUGUUGGGCGGGGUAACGGCCCACCAAGGCAACGAUCAGUAGGGGUUCUGAGAGGAAGGUCCCCCACACUGGUACUGAGACACGGACCAGACUCC